rnacentral:rRNA from 1 species
CGGAGGGUGCAAGCGUUAUCCGGAUUCACUGGGUUUAAAGGGUGCGUAGGUGGGCAAGUAAGUCAGUGGUGAAAUCUCCGGGCUUAACCCGGAAACUGCCAUUGAUACUAUUUGUCUUGAAUACUGUGGAGGUCAGCGGAAUAUGUCAUGUAGCGGUGAAAUGCUUAGAUAUGACAUAGAACACCAAUUGCGAAGGCAGCUGGCUACACAAAUAUUGACACUGAGGCACGAAUGCGUGGGGAUCAAACAGGAUUAGAUACCCUGGUAGUCCACGCCCUAAACUAUGGAUACUCGACAUUUGCGAUAAACUGCAAGUGUCUGAGCGAAAGCAUUAAGUAUCCCACCUGGGAAGUACGAUCGCAGAUUG